UGUCUUGGAGGCUGUCCUGGAACUCCCUUGGUAGACCAGGCUGGCCUUGAACUCACAGAGAUCCGCCUGCCUCUGCCUCCCAAGUGCUGGGAUAAAAGGCGUGCGCCACCAACGCCCGGCGCUCCAUGGGCUCUUGAGGGAAGAGAGAAGUCUAACUGUUGACAAGAAAUUCUGAUGAAAUAGGAGUUCCUGAGCAGAAGAUUCAACAGGAGUCUACAAACAGCCAAAAAAAAAAGGGGGGAGGACCAAGAAUAAGCAAAGUAAUGGAGUGAAAGGGCCGCUAGGGAGUAUCCAGGAGGAAGCAGGUGCUUCUGACUCUGAUGCUCAGGGUGUGGGAAGAAAAGGUUAGAACAGACGCUGGCACAAACUGAUGGAUGUUAUCCACCGUGGAGGUUCAGCCAGAGGCCAUUGGGAAUGCCACUGCCAAUACAGAAGUACUUUGGACCACGGAUCUCACUGCCCAAGGCAUGAGGAAAGCCUGCCAAGACGUGGGUAUGGGGGGAAAGUAAGGGGAGCAGGCACUGGGGAAGGUGGCAGUGUGUGUGAGAGAGGAUGUCUGCCCAGCCCAUGAGAGCAGAGGAGGGCAUCGGAUCCCCUGGGGCUGGGGUGACAGGUGGCUCUGAGUUGUCAGAUGUGGGUGUUGGGAACCACUGGGUCCUUUGCAAGACUUUUCUUUUUGAUUUUGGUGUGUGUGUGUGUGUGUGUGAGAGAGAGAGAGAGAGAGAGAGAGAGAGAGAGAGAGAGAGAGAGAGAGAGAUUAUUUGUCUAGAACUUCCUAUGUAGGUGAGUUCAACUUCAAACUGACAGAUCUGCCUGCUUCUCUAUCUUCUAAGGGGUUUUGUUUGAGUGUAAUUGUGUAUGUCUGUGUGUGUUUAUGCAGUAUGUGUGGGGGUGAGCUGCCUCAUGUAGAUGCUGGGAACCAAACUUGUGUCCUCUUAACUGAGCCUUCUCUCCAGCCUGGACUUUGGAUGGCUAGAGCCCCUCAUGCUUUGGAUGGAUAGACUACCUCCUUGCUUUCUUCAUGGAUGUAUGCUUAGACUACCUCCUUGCUUUCUUCAUGGAUGUAUGCUUAGACUACCUCCUUGCUUUCCUCAUGAAAGGUCCUUUUGCUGGCCAGGGUACCCUAGGUGAGAAAAUCCAUUCAUUUUUAAAGCCUUGGGGAAGGAAGUGUAAGAGCCAGUGUGAGGCCGUUAUGACAGAACAGCUUCACUGUGUGAGGUGAGAGAGCCUGUGGUGGUUAGGGGCUUGGUGAUGGCACUGGAGGGAGGGUGCCACCUGGCUCCUUGACAGUGUAUCCUGUUCUUAGUGACGUUGACAAGGUAGGAGAACUGCUGGCUGACAUCGCAGAACAACAGAAACUGGUCCCGCAGGUAUCAGAUGCCCUUCCUCGCCCCGUGAGUUUCGGAGAUGGUGUGGAUGAGGGAUGGGAGCAAGGGGUUGGAGAGUAUUGGAAAAAGCACUGGACUGCUCAGAAGGACCAGAAGAGGCUCUGGAACAACUUGGGGAGGGAACUUCAAAAGUGAUCUCUUGGGGACUGAUUGUUUUCUUUGUCUUGACCAGUCUUGUCAUCCUGUGUCCAGGAUGAAUUGCUGCAAGAUCUAGAAGAGUUGGAGCAAGAGGAACUACCUAGGAGCUGUUAAAUGUAGGCAACAAGGAGGAAAACCCCCAGCCAGAUUGUCUAGCAUACUUUAUGCACGUCUGCCUACAGGGCCGGGUACCCAGAGCUCUUUGUUAAAGACGAGAGAGGGUGAAAGAUAGGAGAAAGGAUGAAGAUAAAGAAGCACUAAAGUGCUUGGUGGGCUGGGAGUCCCGAGAGUCUGGGUUGUCUUCCUGCUGCUGUCCUUAAGGGCGAAAUACGGAGGGCUACAGGAGCAUCGAUCUGGGGUUUCCUGCUGCAGGGGCAGUGACCGUCUGAGAAGGGCCCGUUGUUCUCGCCUCUUUGGCUGAACUUUGAAGAAGUAUCUUGCUGCAGAAGGAGCCUAUAGGCUCCCUUCUCUUUGGUAUCAGAAGACUGCUUUUUGUCCCCAGUAAAACUGUGUAGUGGAUCCCUACUGUCUGUAUGUCUUGUCUAUGCCUGAGAUCCUUCCUUCUGGUUCUCAGAGCCUUGUUUUAAGUAGUGGAAAACAAAUGGCCAUUUCCAAUAA